rnacentral:rRNA from 1 species
UACGGGGGGAGCAAGCGUUGUUCGGAUUUACUGGGCGUAAAGGGCGCGUAGGCGGCCAGCACAAGUCAGUUGUGAAAUCUCCGAGCUUAACUCGGAAAGGUCAACUGAUACUGUGCGGCUAGAGUGCGGAAGGGGCAACUGGAAUUCUUGGUGUAGCGGUGAAAUGCGUAGAUAUCAAGAGGAACACCUGCGGCGAAGGCGGAUCUCUGGGCCUUACCUGACGCUCAGGCGCGAAAGCUAGGGGAGCGAACAGG